CCGGCGAGGGGAGUGAAAAAGAACCUGAAACCGUGUACGUACAAGCAGUGGGAGCCCCACCACCAAAGCAUUCUCUGGUGUUGAAGGCCCUGCAAAGCAGCAUCGCGGUGGCGGAGCGUCGUUUGCGACGCCCAACACACAAAACAAGCGGUGAGUGCUUUGGGGUGGGGUGACUGCGUACCUUUUGUAUAAUGGGUCAGCGACUUAUAUUCUGUAGCAAGGUU
rnacentral:rRNA from 2 species